GCAGUAGCCACGGGAAUACGUAGGUGGCAAGCGUUAUCCGGAAUUAUUGGGCGUAAAGCGCGCGUAGGCGGUUUUUUAAGUCUGAUAUGAAAGCCCACGGCUCAACCGUGGAGGGUCAUUGGAAACUGGAAAACUUGAGUGCAGAAGAGGAAAGUGGAAUUCCAUGUGUAGCGGUGAAAUGCGCAGAGAUAUGGAGGAACACCAGUGGCGAAGGCGACUUUCUGGUCUGUAACCGACGCUGAGGAGCGAAAGCGUGGGGAGCGAACAGGAUUAGAUACCCCUGUAGUCCCUGUCUCUUAUAC
rnacentral:rRNA from 1 species